rnacentral:rRNA from 1 species
UACGGAGGGGGCUAGCGUUGUUCGGAAUUACUGGGCGUAAAGCGCACGUAGGCGGCUUUGUAAGUUAGAGGUGAAAGCCCGGAGCUCAACUCCGGAAUUGCCUUUAAGACUGCAUCGCUAGAAUUGUGGAGAGGUGAGUGGAAUUCCGAGUGUAGAGGUGAAAUUCGUAGAUAUUCGGAAGAACACCAGUGGCGAAGGCGACUCACUGGACACAUAUUGACGCUGAGGUGCGAAAGCGUGGGGAGCAGA